rnacentral:tRNA from 1 species
GGGCAGUUAGCUCAGUUGGUAGAGCGCUUCGUUUACACCGAAGAUGUCACAGGUUCAAGUCCUGUACUGCCCA